GGGCGUGUAGCUCAGUCGGGAGAGUGCCUGGCUCGCAUUCAGGAGGUCAGGGGUUCGAGUCCCCUCACGUCCACCA
rnacentral:tRNA from 1 species